GCUGGGCGUAGUGGCGGGUGCCUGUAAUCCCAGCUACUCGGGAGGCUGAGGCAGGAGAAUCGCUUGAACCCGGGAGGCGGAGGUUGCAGUGAGCCAAGAUUGCGCUACUGCAGUCCAGCCUGGGCAACAGAGUGAGAUUCUGUCUCAA
ensembl:misc_RNA Metazoa_SRP Metazoan signal recognition particle RNA